GUGCCUGCCGCCGCGGUAAUACGGAGGGAGCAAGCGUUAAUCGGAAUUACUGGGCGUAAAGCGCACGCAGGCGGUCUGUCAAGUCGGAUGUGAAAUCCCCGGGCUCAACCUGGGAACUGCAUUCGAAACUGGCAGGCUAGAGUCUUGUAGAGGGGGGUAGAAUUCCAGGUGUAGCGGUGAAAUGCGUAGAGAUCUGGAGGAAUACCGGUGGCGAAGGCGGCCCCCUGGACAAAGACUGACGCUCAGGUGCGAAAGCGUGGGGAGCAAACAGGAUUAGAUACCCUGGUAGUCCACGCCGUAAACGAUGUCGAUUUGGAGGUUGUGCCCUUGAGGCGUGGCUUCCGGAGCUAACGCGUUAAAUCGACCGCCUGGGGAGUACGGCCGCAAGGUUAAAACUCAAAUGAAUUGACGGGGGCCCGCACAAGCGGUGGAGCAUGUGGUUUAAUUCGAUGCAAACGCGAAGAACCUUACCUGGUCUUGACAUCCACAGAACUUUCCAGAGAUGGAUUGGUGCCUUCGGGAACUGUGAGACAGGUGCUGCAUGGCUGUCGUCAGCUCGUGUUGUGAAAUGUUGGGUUAAGUCCCGCAACGAGCGCAACCCUUAUCCUUUGUUGCCAGCGGUUAGGCCGGGAACUCAAAGGGGACUGCCAGUGAUAAACUGGAGGAAGGUGGGGAUGACGUCAAGUCAUCAUGGCCCUUACGACCAGGGCUACACACGCGCUACGAUGGCAUAUACAAAGAGAAGCGACCUCGCGAGAGCAAGCGGACCUCAUAAAGUAUGUCGUAGUCCGGAUUGGAGUCUGCAACUCGACUCCAUGAAGUCGGAAUCGCUAGUAAUCGUAGAUCAGAAUGCUACGGUGAAUACGUUCCCGGGCCUUGUACACACCGCCCGUCACACCAUGGGAGUGGGUUGCAAAAGAAGUAGGUAGCUUAACCUUCGGGAGGGCGCUUACCACUUUGUGAUUCAUGACUGGGGUGAAGUCGUAACAAGGUAGCC
rnacentral:rRNA from 1 species